rnacentral:rRNA from 1 species
UCUGAAUCUGCGUACGGCUCCGCAAACCAGUUGUAAACCAAAGCAAGCAAGCUCAUGGUCUGGCCUUCACGGGUCGGGCUGUGGGUGAUACGGAUAACCCUGGUAAUUCUGAGGCUAAUACGAGAAUAUAAUCCCUGGUGGACCGGUAACGGGAAGCUGGGGGGCGUGUGAUCUAUUUGCAAGGAGGAUCCAGGAAGGGGUGCACGCUCUGACCGCGACAAAGACAGUUCUGGCAAACCUUCGGGCGAGUUGGUUCUGAGCGGCUCUUGCGAUGUGCUUCUGACCUAUCAACUAGAUGGCAGCGUAACGGACAUGCCAUGGCUACAACGGGUACAG